rnacentral:rRNA from 1 species
GAUGAACGCUGGCAGCGUGCCUAAUACAUGCAAGUCGAGCGAACAGACGAGGAGCUUGCUCCUCUGACGUUAGCGGCGGACGGGUGAGUAACACGUGGAUAACCUACCUAUAAGACUGGGGUAACUUCGGGAAACCGGAGCUAAUACCGGAUAAUAUAUUGAACCGCAUGGUUCAAUAGUGAAAGACGGUUUUGCUGUCACUUAUAGAUGGAUCCGCGCCGCAUUAGCUAGUUGGUAAGGUAACGGCUUACCAAGGCAACGAUGCGUAGCCGACCUGAGAGGGUGAUCGGCCACACUGGAACUGAGACACGGUCCAGACUCCUACGGGAGGCAGCAGUAGGGAAUCUUCCGCAAUGGGCGAAAGCCUGACGGAGCAACGCCGCGUGAGUGAUGAAGGUCUUCGGAUCGUAAAACUCUGUUAUUAGGGAAGAACAAAUGUGUAAGUAACUAUGCACGUCUUGACGGUACCUAAUCAGAAAGCCACGGCUAACUACGUG